AACGAACGCUGGCGGCAUGCCUAACACAUGCAAGUCGAACGAGACCUUCGGGUCUAGUGGCGCACGGGUGCGUAACGCGUGGGAACCUGCCCUUAGGUUCGGAAUAACUCCCCGAAAGGGGUGCUGAUACCGGAUAAUGUCUUCGGACCAAAGAUUUAUCGCCUUUGGAUGGGCCCGCGUUGGAUUAGCUAGUUGGUAGGGUAAAAGCCUACCAAGGCGACGAUCCAUAGCUGGUCUGAGAGGAUGAUCAGCCACACUGGGACUGAGACACGGCCCAGACUCCUACGGGAGGCAGCAGUGGGGAAUAUUGGACAAUGGGCGAAAGCCUGAUCCAGCAAUGCCGCGUGAGUGAUGAAGGCCUUAGGGUUGUAAAGCUCUUUUACCCGGGAUGAUAAUGACAGUACCGGGAGAAUAAGCUCCGGCUAACUCCGUG
rnacentral:rRNA from 1 species